UACGAAGGGGGCUAGCGUUGCUCGGAAUUACUGGGCGUAAAGCGUGCGCAGGCGGUUCGUUGUGUCUGUGGUGAAAGCCCCGGGCUUAACCUGGGAAUGGCCAUGGAAACUGGCGAGCUGGAGUGUGGCAGAGGGGGGUGGAAUUCCGCGUGUAGCAGUGAAAUGCGUAGAGAUGCGGAGGAACACCGGAUGGCGAAGGCAGCCCCCUGGGUUGACACUGACGCUCAGGCACGAAAGCGUGGGGAGCAAACGGG
rnacentral:rRNA from 1 species